GAUGAAGAACGCAGCGAAAUGCGAUACGUAAUGUGAAUUGCAGAAUUCAGUGAAUCAUCGAAUCUUUGAACGCACAUUGCGCCUGCCAGCACUCUGGCAGGCAUGCCUGUUCGAGCGUCAUUUCAACCAUCAAGCCCUAGGCUUGCGUUGGAGCCCUGCGGCUGCCGCAGGCCCCUAAAAGCAGUGGCGGACUCGCUAUCACACCGAGUGCAGUAGAUUACUCUUCGCUCAGGGCGUGUGGCGGGUUCCAGCCGUGAAACCCCCUACUUCUCAAGGUUGACCUCGGAUCAGGUAGGAAUACCCGCUGAACUUAAGCAUAUCAAUAAGCGGAGGA
rnacentral:misc_RNA from 1 species